rnacentral:rRNA from 1 species
AAGGUGGGGAUGACGUCAAGUCCUCAUGGCCCUUAUGGGUAGGGCUUCACACGUCAUACAAUGGUCGGUACAGAGGGUUGCCAAGCCGCGAGGUGGAGCCAAUCCCAGAAAGCCGAUCGUAGUCCGGAUUGUUCUCUGCAACUCGAGAGCAUGAAGUCGGAAUCGCUAGUAAUCGCAGAUCAGCAACGCUGCGGUGAAUACCGGUUCCCGGGCCUU